rnacentral:rRNA from 1 species
UGGGGAAUAUUGCACAAUGGGCGCAAGCCUGAUGCAGCCAUGCCGCGUGUAUGAAGAAGGCCUCCGGGUUGUAAAGUACUUUUAGUCGGGAGGAAGGUGGUAAGGUUAAUAACCUUAUCAAUUGACGUUACCGACAGAAGAAGCACCGGCUAACUCCGUGCCAGCAGACGCGGUAAUACGGAGGGUGCAAGCGUUAAUCGGAAUUACUGGGCGUAAAGCGCACGCAGGCGGUCUGUCAAGUCGGAUGUGAAAUCCCCGGGCUCAACCUGGAAACUGCAUUCGAAACUGGCAGGCUAGAGUCUUGUAGAGGGGGGUAGAAUUCCAGGUGUAGCGGUGAAAUGCGUAGAGAUCUGGAGGAAUACCGGUGGCGAAGGCGGCCCCCUGGACAAAGACUGACGCUCAGGUGCGAAAGCGUGGGGAGCAAACAGG